AAUGAAAACUUGUAUGAAGGAAAUGGCUGAUAGGGGCUUCUCUUUUGAUGCAAGUACAACUGGACUUUUGGUAAACGUUGUAAGGGAGAAUCCUUCUGUCCUUGACAUGAUACCAGAGCUUCACUCAAAAAAUAAGUACUGAAUAUUUGUUUUGGUUGGUUUAUUUGGCUAUGCUAUCGCUGUGAUACGAUUUCCUUUCAUCCCUGCAAAAGAAAUUACACCCAAUGCAAUUGCAAAAGGUGAUGACAAAUAGAGCAUUGCUUGAGCUUUCUAGUCAUCCUUAUUGAGAAGGUACAUCAAUUUUGAUUUGCGUUUUUUUGGCCAUUCUUCUUUUUCUUAGAAAUGCAGUAUCUUAACAACUGCAUUUGUGAUGUGCUUUUCUUAAACUCUUUUCUUCCAUGCCGGUGUCUCUAGCAUCAGACUUUAUGUACAACUAGAGUCUACAUGUCUAGAGAUGUUACAACAAGCUUUGGUUAUGAUUACAUCCUUCAGCAGUUUAUCUGCAGGUUGCUGCAGGGCAAAUUGCUAGUGCUGGAAUGGUUGCAGUGAGUUAUGUUCAGAGAAUUUCUGAAAAGGUGUCUCUAGCAUCAGACUUUAUGUACAACUACAUGUCUUGAGAUGUUACAGCAAGCUUUGGUUACAAAUACAUCCUUCUGCAGGUAACCUUUUGUCGUUAUUA